CCUACGGGACGCACCAGUGGGGAAUAUUGCACAAUGGGCGCAAGCCUGAUGCAGCCAUGCCGCGUGUAUGAAGAAGGCCUUCGGGUUGUAAGGUACUUUCAGCGGGGAGGAAGGCGUUGAUGCUAAUAUCAUCAACGAUUGACGUUACCGACAGAAGAAGCACCGGCUAACUCCGUGCCAGCAGCCGCGGUAAUACGGAGGGUGCAAGCGUUAAUCGGAAUUACUGGGCGUAAAGCGCACGCAGGCGGUUGAUUAAGUUAGAUGUGAAAUCCCCGGGCUUAACCUGGGAAUGGCAUCUAAGACUGGUCAGCUAGAGUCUUGUAGAGGGGGGUAGAAUUCCAUGUGUAGCGGUGAAAUGCGUAGAGAUGUGGAGGAAUACCGGUGGCGAAGGCGGCCCCCUGGACAAAGACUGACGCUCAGGUGCGAAAGCGUGGGGAGCAAACAGGAUUAGAUACCCGCGUAGUC
rnacentral:rRNA from 1 species